AGCAGCAGCCGCGGGAAUACGGAGGGUGCAAGCGUUAAUCGGAAUUACUGGGCGUAAAGCGCACGCAGGCGGUCUGUCAAGUCGGAUGUGAAAUCCCCGGGCUCAACCUGGGAACUGCAUUCGAAACUGGCAGGCUAGAGUCUUGUAGAGGGGGGUAGAAUUCCAGGUGUAGCGGUGAAAUGCGUAGAGAUCUGGAGGAAUACCGGUGGCGAAGGCGGCCCCCUGGACAAAGACUGACGCUCAGGUGCGAAAGCGUGGGGAGCAAACAGGAUUAGAUACCCCUGUAGUCCCUGUCUCUUAUAC
rnacentral:rRNA from 1 species